CUGGUCAUCAAUGCUGCUUUGGGAUUUGACACAUUUGUUGUCAUGAGACAUGGCCUGAAGAAACCAAAGCAGCAAGGAGCUGGGGACUUGUGUCCAAACCACCUUGUGGCAUCUGCUGACCUCCUGGGCUCAUCGCUUUUUGCCAACAUCCCUGGUUACAAGCUUGGCUGCUACUUCUGCAAUGAUGUGGUGGCCCCAGGAGAUUCAACCAGAGACCGGACCUUGGACCAGCAGUGCACUGUGAGUCGUCCAGGGCUGGCCAUGAUUGCAGGAGCCCUGGCCGUGGAAUUGAUGGUAUCUGUUUUGCAGCAUCCAGAAGGGUGAGUUUGCUAGUAGGAGAUGAGUAUUUAAACAAAGCUUUUGUAGGCAGUUGUUCAUCAGUGUCUCCCAUGGCCUUUUCUCAGUCUGACUUUACAGAGAAUUUCACUAUUUCACCCUCAAAAAAGCAAGACUAGAAAAAGCAGGUCUGGUUCUUUGGGCUGAGAUAA
rnacentral:sRNA from 1 species